GAAGCUUCAUGAGAUCUCUCCUGUCUGUGCACGGACGAGUGGCCGACUCUGGAGCCCAGGGUGUUGCUUCCCGGUCUGGUAGUGAAUCGUCCAUAGUCUGGUGGAAGACGGAAAGAGAAAACCAUAUGAAAAAAAGACACAAAUUUCUAAAAAAGCAUCCUGUCUUUGAAGAGUGGCAAAUACUAUUCUGUUUUUGAGUACAGAAAUAGAUCCAACUUGGAAUUAUAAAACAGAAUGUGCCUCAUCACUUGGACUUAACCAUAUGACUUGCUUUGACCAAUAAAAUAUAAGUGGAAAUUCUACUAUGCUACUUCCAAGAAAAGUCUUAAAGAAGUCUGGAAAAUUUCCACAUCUCUCUAUACAUGUCCUCUGUCCCCAGUCAGAGGAAAACAUACUAGGAAGUUGUUAAUUCUUUAGCUCAGAUCCUGGAAUGAAGACACCUGGAGUAGACUUGAAAGUCUGAAGUCCAGCUGACCCCCAGCUCAAAUUAGUGAAAGUACAGUCCACCAGCCAACCUGCACAAUAUAUUUAACUGACUUCCAUCUUCAAGCAAAGAGUUGUUCUCCAAAUGGCAAUUGGAAUUUGCAGCAACCUGAGUGAGGAGAGAGAUAAAUUGAAUAAUUGUUAGGCAAAAAUGAACCAGAACUUGAAGACUUGGAAAAUUACCAGCCUAUUUAUAUUGCAAAAUAAUACCAAAGAAUUUUGGGAAGAGAACAUCAAGGAUAUUGCUGGGCUACAAAGAUCUGCUAGAAAGAUUACAGGAAUAAAGCACUUAAUAUUUUUUCAAUAGAGGUCAUCAUCACGGAGCACCUCAGGAGAAUUCUAGCAGUUGAGUCAGCAAAGAGGACUGAAAGAGUUCCACUUUCAAUCCCAGAAUUUCACUCAGUUCGCCUUGUCAGAAAAUAGCAAAGACUUGGAACCAACCCAAAUGUCCAAC
rnacentral:lncRNA from 10 species